CCUGGCUCAGCCUCCCAAGUAGCUGGGACCACAGUCUGCGAAUUGCCAGAAGCCCAGUCUGCGAAUUGCCAGAAGCCCAAAGCCCAUCUUCCCUUGGCCUGAGUGACACGGCACUGACCUGCUCCUGCUCUUACUGCUCUGGCUGCCCCCUACAGUUCCACUCCUGGGCAUCUCUUCCCUCCUUUAACUGAUGGCUCCAUCUUAAAGAGAGUAGAAGUGACUUCACCCACCCUAUGGCCUAGAGGCCCAAACAUGAAGCUCCUGGGCAACAGGAUUUGGUUUUAUUAAAGAGCUGCCAAGUUCCUUUGCCUUGAUGUGAGUAUGGGGAUCAGGCGGCCUGGCUAAGCUGGUCAGAGGGAGCAUUUCCAGAGGUCAGAGCACAGUCUCCAUGGAAACCAGGGCUCUGCAUACCCAGGAGGACCCAGGGACAGCAGGAGGACCAGUGAGAAAGGUGGAGUGCUGAGGAGAGAACACUGGGGUGCAGGCAGGGCCAUCAGGUUGAAACCCACCCCCACUUCCCCAACUCCUACACAGAGUCCCUCCUCCACCCAGCUGGGAGAACCAGAGCUCAGCCUACAGGGAACAGACAGGGCUCCUUUCAUCCUGCAGCAGAUGCUGUGCCUCCUACGCCCCUCCUGGGCCUCAGGAAGGGGGCUGGGGGUUCUAGGGCUAUGGCUGGGGCUGAAAGAGCAGCCCCGGCCCUGAGAGGACCCACAGGGACACCAAGGCUGGGGGCUGCCUGUGCCACUUAGCACUCUCAUCCCCACACCUCUGCAGCUUCUCACUGUGGGACCCUGGGUUUCUGCCCUGGGGUUUCUCUGGCCUUUGGAGCACACUUGGCCAGAAGUGCCAGAAAGUUUGAGGAUCAGCCUUUAACCGAUGACAGCUGGAGUUGGUGACCAACUGCUCCAGUUUCCUUGCCUUUUGGGUGGGACCUCCCUGUGGCAGGUUCUGCGCAGUCUCCCACGGGUUCCCCACAGGACUGACCCACAGUGAUGACCUGCUCGGCAGCCACCAUGGCUUUCUUCUUUUCCCUGGAUCACCUCUGAAAUAAAUGAUUUGUACUUAAAUGUUUGCCUCAGGAUCAGCUUCUGGAGGAACCCAAACUGAGAAUCCCCUCUCUCUCCCUCACAUUCGCAUCCAAUCUGCCUGAUUCUGCUGAUUCUACCUCCUUAAAAAGCCCUCAAGGCCAGGUGUGGUGGCUCAUGCCUGUAAUGCUACCACUCUGGGAAGCCGAGGUGGG
rnacentral:lncRNA from 1 species